rfam:Chaetomium thermophilum var. thermophilum strain DSM 1495 mitochondrion, complete genome.
GAAUUAGUAACUUAAUUGGUAAAGGAUCCUCCUGUCACGAGGAUAGAUGCCGGUUCGAUUCCGGUCUAAUUCG